UACGUAGGGUGCAAGCGUUGCCCGGAUUUAUUGGGCGUAAAGGGCGCGUAGGCGGCUCGGCACGUCCGUUGUGAAAUCGCCCGGCUCAACUGGGCGGGGUCAGCGGAUACGGCCGAGCUUGAGCAAGCUAGGGGGCAAUGGAAUUCCCGGUGUAGUGGUGGAAUGCGUAGAUAUCGGGAGGAACACCAGUGGCGAAGGCCGUUGCCUGGGGCUUUGCUGACGCUGAGGCGCGAAAGCGUGGGGAGCGAUCCGG
rnacentral:rRNA from 1 species